UAGAAAUUUGAAACACAAACUAAACUCAAUUUCAAUCAAGGUUAAGAUUUCUAUUCAAUCACAAUAUACCAAAGAGCCAAACGACAAAUGACAACAUUGGGCUUAAUACAUUGUUAUCAUUCUGCUAUUUUUUUAUACCCAUCCCUUCCAAAACGAAAAUAGGGCAAAGAACCAAAAUAGAGAGGAGGAGGAGGAAGAGGGAAUGUGAUACCUAAAAUGGCAGUCCUGAAACGAAGGAGCUUGAGGCAACACACGCACUGAAAGAUGCUACACGCACUGAUGAAAGCCACACGCACUGAUGAAUGCCACACGCAGAUCGAAAGGGCAGAGAAUGUAAGCAGAAACGAAGAACCAUAAACAAAAAAGAGAAGAGAGAAGAGAAAGAGAAAAGGGAAGGUGAUACCUAAAAUGGCAGUCGUACAGCUUGAGGCACCUUGUACUGAUGAAAAACGAAGGAAACACGCACUAUGAAAGCAACGCAGAUGAAAACGUCUAAGUAGAGAGAAACACCAAUAUCGUAUAAGCAGAAACGAAUCAGAGGAAAAGCGCGAAAUCAAAUUUUUUUAAUAAACAUAGAUUGCGCUUAUAAUAUAAAAUGCGCUAUGUGUCAUG
rnacentral:lncRNA from 1 species